rnacentral:rRNA from 1 species
GCGGCAAGACGGAAAGACCCCGUGAACCUUUACUAUAGCUUGACACUGAACAUUGAGCCUUGAUGUGUAGGAUAGGUGGGAGGCUUUGAAGUGUGGACGCCAGUCUGCAUGGAGCCGACCUUGAAAUACCACCCUUUAAUGUUUGAUGUUCUAACGUGGACCCGUGAUCCGGGUUGCGGACAGUGUCUGGUGGGUAGUUUGACUGGGGCGGUCUCCUCCUAAAGAGUAACGGAGGAGCACGAAGGUUGGCUAAUCCUGGUCGGACAUCAGGAGGUUAGUGCAAUGGCAUAAGCCAGCUUGACUGCGAGCGUGACGGCGCGAGCAGGUGCGAAAGCAGGUCAUAGUGAUCCGGUGGUUCUGAAUGGAAGGGCCAUCGCUCAACGGAUAAAAGGUACUCCGGGGAUAACAGGCUGAUACCGCCCAAGAGUUCAUAUCGACGGCGGUGUUUGGCACCUCGAUGUCGGCUCAUCACAUCCUGGGGCUGAAGUAGGUCCCAAGGGUAUGGCUGUUCGCCAUUUAAAGUGGUACGCGAGCUGGGUUUAGAACGUCGUGAGACAGUUCGGUCCCUAUCUGCCGUGGGCGCUGGAGAACUGAGGGGGGCUGCUCCUAGUACGAGAGGACCGGAGUGGACGCAUCACUGGUGUUCGGGUUGUCAUGCCAAUGGCACUGCCCGGUAGCUAAAUGCGGAAGAGAUAAGUGCUGAAAGCAUCUAAGCACGAAACUUGCC